rnacentral:rRNA from 1 species
AGGGUGUAAACGCUGCAGACUUGGUGUUGGAGGCCCUUUGGGGGCAUUCAGUGCCGGAGAGAAGUUGUUAAGUCUGCUACUUGGGGAGUACGUCCGCAAGGAUGAAACUUAAAGGAAUUGGCGGGGGAGCACCGCAACGGGAGGAGCGUGCGGUUUAAUUGGAUUCAACGCCGGACAUCUCACCGGAUAAGACUGUUACAUGAAGGCCGAGAUGAAGACUCUGCCAGAUUUUCAGAGAGGUGGUGCAUGGCGUCAGUGACU